GUUCGUAUAGCUCAGUGGUAGAGCGCGAGAUUGCAAAUCUUGAGGUCCCCGGUUCGACCCCGGGUGCGAACU
rnacentral:tRNA from 1 species